rnacentral:rRNA from 1 species
AUUGAACGCUGGCGGCAUGCCUUACACAUGCAAGUCGAGCGGCAGCGCGGUCUUCGGACUGGCGGCGAGCGGCGAACGGGUGAGUAAUACAUCGGAACAUGCCCAGUCGUGGGGGAUAACACUUCGAAAGAAGUGCUAAUACCGCAUACGUCCUGAGGGAGAAAGCGGGGGAUCGCAAGACCUCGCGCGAUUGGAGUGGCCGAUGUCAGAUUAGCUAGUUGGUGGGGUAAAGGCCUACCAAGGCAACGAUCUGUAGCUGGUCUGAGAGGAUGAUCAGCCACACUGGGACUGAGACACGGCCCAGACUCCUACGGGAGGCAGCAGUGGGGAAUUUUGGACAAUGGGGGCAACCCUGAUCCAGCCAUUCCGCGUGAGUGAAGAAGGCCUUCGGGUUGUAAAGCUCUUUCGGCAGGAACGAAACGGCGAGCUCUAACAUAGCUCGCUAAUGACGGUACCUGAAGAAGAAGCACCGGCUAACUACGUGCCAGCCGCCGCAGUAACAC